ensembl:antisense Gm44264 predicted gene, 44264
AUAGUCUCCAGACAGUGAUGGUUUGUGUAUAAAGGGGACUGGGGGAUGAGAUCCUGAGAGAGCCUAGAGCACUUGCCUCUUAUCAAGGCACUAGGCUCUACCCACUACCCCAACCGACCACAAGUAGUACAACAGAAGGAAAAAAACAGGAUCUUUCAUUUCUGCACCUUGUCUGCGUUUCUGUGUAUGUUUCCUGAAACCAUCCAUACACACAGGAAACUGAGAGCAGUGUUUGGGACAGAGAACCAGGAGACCAAAGGACAGGAAAGCAUCUCGGUGCACGGCAGUGAAGGUGAGAACUGUGUCCGCGUCUGCGGGCUGUGAGUUCGAGACCACAAGCCUUCCGGGCUGGUGGCCAGGCCUAGGCUGUCAGGCCGCCAUCCAUCCCGCGAGCUCGGACCCCGAGCCCGGCUCCCGCCCCGGCCCGCGCUCACCGCCAAUGAUGGUCCGGAUGAGGGAGGCGUGCCCGGGGCAGUCGACCAGUGUGACCUGCAGCAGCGUGUCGCUAGAACCGGGUUCUGCCCCCGGCAGCGGCACGACAAAACAGGAGAAGCCCAGGUCGAGCGUUAUGCCGCGCUCGCGGCUCUGCGGCUGCUUGUCGAAGGCAGCAGUGGAGGCCGUGGUGCUCAGCGCGCGCGCCAGCGCUGUUUUGCCACUGUCGAUGUGACCCAGCACGCCCACAUUCACAUUUACCCGCCGGCCGGCCAUCCCGCCGCUGCCUCUCACGCCGUCGCCUGAGCGC